UUCGCUAGCUUCCAGGUUUUAUUCGCCGAGUUAAAAUUAAUAGAUAUAGAUAUAAAAAAAUUAUUGCAAUAUUAAUUUGGCAUCACUUUAAGUCUUUUAAAUAAUUGUGCUUUAGAAUUUGUUCAUUGCAUUGUUUACUACUUAGUAUAAUAUUGUUGUUUUUGUUAAAUUAAAUUGUAUCUAAUCAUAAUAUUUGUGUGUUUUUCACAGCCACAAACAUGUUCAGUCCCGCUGUUGCGAGGAAAUUAGUUUUUUUUCUCAGAUUCCAGCCGAUCUUUCUCCCGAUUGAUCCCCUCAGUUCGACGGAUACAGAGGCCUACCCGGUUUACUGCUAGUCUUAGGAAUCGACUUCAGCAGGCUCAGCCAUUCAGAAUAUUUACAGGUGCUGUAUGUGAUGUUGCAGAAGUGACUUGGUGUUUUGUGUUAUACACAACCCAUUCUGAACAUUGAUGUGUAUCAUGUUGCAGAAGUGGGUUGGUGUUUCAUUUGUUCAUUCUGAACAUUGCCACUUAGUAAUGUAUGAGUCGUACUUACCAUAGCAUUAUAAAUGCAAAGGAUUUUUUAAAAAUAUUUGGAGAUGGCUAAAGAUGGUUUAAGAGUCUAGUUGGGUUACAGCCACCCCAAGAUGAUCAACCUCUUGAUAAAUGCAAGAAGGGAAUAUUGUUCUUUUUUUAAAAAGUUUACAAUGAUAAAGAAGAUGAUGGAUGGUGUUUUCUUUUUGAAGACAAGCGACAUAAAGUUCAAGUAGUUAAACAUAUAUACAUAUUUUGUUCUCAUACCCUGACUGAUGACCAGCUAUGGUUUCAUACAUGUACAAAUUUUUAAAGUACAUGAAAGGCCUAUUGAGAACAAAAGUACAUUUUGAAAUGCUAACAAUGAGGCCGAAACCUUUGUAGUGACAUUGUUUUCUUCUGUCUUUCUUGAUUUCUGAACAAUGCACAGUGCAUCCACUACUUAUUUAUUAUAAAGAAAACCACCACUUCAUAAGUAUUGUAGUGACAAUACCAUUUAUGAAAUGUCCCUAUACAUAAAGCUCAAUAUGUACAGUAAACAAGUCACCACAAAGGUAUCAGGGUUGAUGCAUUUUAGUAAUAGUUGUAAAGUUUUUUUAAGAUGCAAUAAAUGUAUGAUGCAAAGUAUGGUUUGAAUAAAAAGCAGGUAAGUUUAAAUGUGUUCUACUCUAUAUUUAGAUGAUGUAGUUGGGGCAUGUUGGAAGAGUUAAAGAAAUUUAAUUGUGAAGUUACAUAAAUGGAUUAUUGUACAUCUUCAAAACUGUGCAACUGAAUACAUACUGGACAUUGGCUACAAUUAUAAAGUGAACUUGGUACCAUAUGUUGCACAUAAUAUAUAUGUGUAUUGCUAUUCGAAACGAGUGAGAAUUAUAGCUGAGCAAUAAACACCUGCGAAUUGAAAGGAGUCAUAACCAUGGAAUAAUCACAUUCUUCAUUAUUUCAUCACAUUCUUCAUUAUUUGGGUUAAAAUGUUUACUCCUGUACAAGGAUACAUAUAUAAUUGAUGUGUUUAAUUAAAUUAUUGAAAUAUUAAAAACUUAUAACACCUA
rnacentral:lncRNA from 1 species